UGCCUAAUGUCUCAGAGGUAAAAGAAUCUGCCUGUAAUGCAGGAUACACAGGUUCAAUCCCUGCUUCAGGAA
rnacentral:tRNA from 1 species